UACGUAGGGACCGAGCGUUGUCCGGAUUCAUUGGGCGUAAAGAGCUCGUAGGCGGCUGUUCAAGUCGAACGUGAAACUCGGAGCUCAACUCCGAGCCUGCGUUCGAUACUGGACGGCUAGAGUCUGGUAGGGGGAUGCUGGAAUUCCUGGAUGUGAGCGGUGGGAAUACGCAGAGUAUCAGGAGGAACACCCGGUGGCGAAGGCGGGACCUGGGCCAGUACUGAACGCUGAGGAGCGAAAGCGUGGGGAGCAAACAGG
rnacentral:rRNA from 1 species